rnacentral:rRNA from 1 species
UGGGGAAUCUUAGACAAUGGGGGCAACCCUGAUCUAGCCAUGCCGCGUGAGUGAUGAAGGCCUUAGGGUUGUAAAGCUCUUUCAGCUGGGAAGAUAAUGACGGUACCAGCAGAAGAAGCCCCGGCUAACUCCGUGCCAGCAGCCGCGGUAAUACGGAGGGGGCUAGCGUUGUUCGGAAUUACUGGGCGUAAAGCGCACGUAGGCGGACUGGAAAGUUGGGGGUGAAAUCCCGGGGCUCAACCACGGAACUGCCUUCAAAACUAUCAGUCUGGAGUUCGAGAGAGGUGAGUGGAAUUCCGAGUGUAGAGGUGAAAUUCGUAGAUAUUCGGAGGAACACCAGUGGCGAAGGCGGCUCACUGGCUCGAUACUGACGCUGAGGUGCGAAAGCGUGGGGAGCAAACA